rnacentral:tRNA from 1 species
AGGGAUAUAGCUCAGUGGUGCAGCACCUGCCUUGCAAGCAGGAGGUUGUGAGUUCUAUUCCUG